CCACACCCUCCCGCGGAGCCCCGCCCCCGGCACGUGGACCUUGUCCCGAAAGACUGGAUUCCCCGCAGACCCCGCCGGCCGCCCCUUGGGCCCCGCGCCUCCGCCCGCCGCCGUCCCGGGGCUGCGCGGCCCGGCGGGGCACUCACGAGGGCACCUCGAGCGCGCGGCGCGCCUCCUCUUUGGCCAGGGCCUCGGCCAUCAUGUACAGGUGUCCGGGCAGCAGGGUCAGGUUGGACGGGAUGCGGAGCUGAGGGGAGAUGAGGCACCCGAGGGCGCCUGGACGUCAGGGCACGGGCGGCUGGUGCCCGCGUCACCGAGGGGACACCCUGAGGUCGGGGUGCGGGCCCAGGCAAGCCAGGAUGGGAACCCGGGCCUGGGGGCUCCAGAGCGACCCUGCGCCUCCUCAGGGCAGGGGUGAAGAGACUUCAGGGAGGGGAAGGACAGAUCAGAUGCUCGAAUGUAGGCUCUCAAAACUCUACAGGCUGCGGGGCCAGACAGGGGACAAAGGACUAAAGCAGAGAUCAGGAAUGUUGACAAAAACUCCUGGCUCUUAAAUAAUGGCAGAUCACUUUCACAGUUUCAACACUGUUGGCAAAAACAGAAGCCGCUUGCGGGCUGCGUUGGGCUCAGAGUCCGCCAGCGUGAGACCCGUGUAGGAGACUCUGGGGGCCUGGUUGAGGACUGUGGCGUCGAAGGAGAAAAGAGGGUCCCCGAGGAGGCAACCAGUCUUACCUCUACCACCGUCAGGAUGAAGCCUUUCCACAUCUCCCGAGACUCCAGGCUCUCUACCUGCGGAGGGACAGAAACAGAGCCCAUGGCGAUGAGCCUCGGUCAAUUCAUCUGUGAAAUGGGAACGAGGAAUAAUAGCCACUGUUUUCCAAGGGUUCUUUUGAAGAUUAAACGAGUUGGGACCCGGGUUACUUCAGGAUGUCUGGACAUCAUAAGUCCUUAGGAAAGUGGGAUAGAAUUCUUUAAUGUUACUACGUCAAGUUUGAAAACAAUACAAAUCAGAUCCUGUAUCUUCAAUGCUCUAAACCCUCCCCGGGCUCCCGUCUGCUUUGGGGUAAAAGCCCAAGUCCUCCCUAGGGCCCACAAAGCCCUGCACCCCACGCCCUGUCCCCUCCCUGCCCUCCUCCCUCCCUCUACCCAGCAGCCUCCUGCUCCUCCCCCCUCCCCCCUCCUCUUCUUCCUCCCGGCUCUUCAGACACACGAGCCUUUGCACAGGUAUUUACGUGCUGGUUCCCUCACCUGCGGGUCUCGGUGAGGCUUUCCCCGGUCGCCCUGUUUCACAUGGUAACCCUGAGCGCGCUGCGUCCUUUCUCUAGCACUUUUUCCAAGCGUCUCCUGCCAUCUGCCCCUCCAGAUACGUUUUACACGCUUGUAUUGUGUACUGUGUGCCUCCCCCGCUCGACUGCAAACUCCACAACGGUGAGGAGUUUUAACUGUCCUGUUCACUGCAACCAGGAGAAUGUCUGGCACACGGGAGGCGCUCGAUAACCUUAGCUGCAAGGUUGAACGAUGGCGGGGCGGCGGGGGGGGGGGGGGGUCCAUCCUUGUGGCUCGCGUGCUGUUCUGGCUCCUCUCUAUGUAGUCUCCCAUUUUGCAGGCGAAGAACCCAAGGCCUAGAGAAGUCAAGUGACUCGGCCAGUGUCACCAACCCAGUGGUAGCCUCCGUGCGACUCCAUGCUACUGUGUGUUAGUGGACUGUGUUGGAUACGGGUGGCGAGGGUGAACAUCCUUGCCCUGUUCGCUCUGUUACGGGGAAAGCGUCUAGGCUUUCCCCAUCGAGUACAAUGUUUACUGCAGGUCCUGAGGAUUAGAAUGUGAACAUCUUUAGGGAACCGCUAUUCCACGACCACAGCCUGUUAAAUAUGAUGGCUAACAUUGAUUGAUUCUUGAAUACUGAACCCGCUAUGCAUCCCUGGAGUAAACCCCACUCAGUCAUGCUCGCCCUGAGAAGGGAUCUGCGCUGACAGUGUGGAGCCUGCUUGGG